rnacentral:ncRNA from 1 species
UUAAAAGCUGUGAAGAGGAGAGUAUUAAAGGCUGAUUAGCAUACAGAGAAGAUAGUCAUAAGGUGAAAGACUGCUCUAAACCCUUUAAGAAGAUCACCUCGGAGCUGUUUGCCUGAAUAAGAGUAAGGCAGUACGCCUAAAGCGUUAUUUGAAAUGAGUGAUAAGGUUUCAUACCUUAUAAAGUGGGUGGUACCACGGAAAUUUCGUCCCUAAG